GUCACGUGGUUUCUGCAUGUAGGAUAGCUUGGGCUUCCUCAUAACAUGGCAGUCAGAACAGUCAGAGUGAUUCUCAGGGCUCCAGUUAGUUUUCUGUUGCCAUGGCAGAGCUGAAUUGCUUUAUGAUCUGGCUACUGAAGUCUGACAACAUUACUUCCACUGCAUUCUAUUGAGUACAUGUGAGUCAGAAGCCCAUCCUGUUUUAAGGGGAGAGGAAUUACACUCCACCUCUCAAUGGGUGAAUGGCAGGAAAGACCCUUCUCGCGCUUAGGAACACCAGACGGCACUUCAGCACUGUGCCUAGGGGCCAUUUUAAACAGCGAAAUCAUCAAGAAAAAAGCACAAAAAUGAGAAAAAUGUUGCACUAAACAGAGCAUGAAAGGACACUUGCUCAUAGUGUGAGAGCUGAACAUGCAUAUAUGUGUUCAUCACUCUGCGCUUGUCUGUGAAUGACCGUGAACAUGCUGCAAGUCUUGAUUUGGGGGUUACAAGUUAAUUUUAUCAAGUAGAAGAAUUUGCCAACAUGGAAUUUAUGAACAAUGAGGAUCAAUUAUAUGUAUUUUUGGUGUCAGAGAAGAGCUCACAAUGGAACCCCGUACACUUGUUUGGGAGGGGAGUUGGGUUGUGUGCACCUAAAAUCUUUGAUGCUGGGAGUUCAACUUUGGCAACUUAUCUGGAGAAAAUUAUCAGGCAAAUGAGUGAAUGAUUGUGUACAAGGAUGUUCAUUUAUAAUUUAAUGAAACACUAUGCAAUCAUGAAAAUGCAUUGAUGAAUAUUAACAUGAAAAAUGUAUGAAAUGUAAAAUGAAAAUACAGUCAAACAAUACAUA